CCGGGCGGGGGUGCUAUACAUGCAAGUAGAACGCUGAAGAGAGGAGCUUGCUCUUCUUGGAUGAGUUGCGAACGGGUGAGUAACGCGUAGGUAACCUGCCUUGUAGCGGGGGAUAACUAUUGGAAACGAUAGCUAAUACCGCAUAACAAUGGAUGACACAUGUCAUUUAUUUGAAAGGGGCAAUUGCUCCACUACAAGAUGGACCUGCGUUGUAUUAGCUAGUAGGUGAGGUAACGGCUCACCUAGGCGACGAUACAUAGCCGACCUGAGAGGGUGAUCGGCCACACUGGGACUGAGACACGGCCCAGACUCCUACGGGAGGCAGCAGUAGGGAAUCUUCGGCAAUGGGGGCAACCCUGACCGAGCAACGCCGCGUGAGUGAAGAAGGUUUUCGGAUCGUAAAGCUCUGUUGUAAGUCAAGAACGAGUGUGAGAGUGGAAAGUUCACACUGUGACGGUAGCUUACCAGAAAGGGACGGCUAACUACGUGCCAGCAGCCGCGGUAAUACGUAGGUCCCGAGCGUUGUCCGGAUUUAUUGGGCGUAAAGCGAGCGCAGGCGGUUUGAUAAGUCUGAAGUUAAAGGCUGUGGCUCAACCAUAGUUCGCUUUGGAAACUGUCAAACUUGAGUGCAGAAGGGGAGAGUGGAAUUCCAUGUGUAGCGGUGAAAUGCGUAGAUAUAUGGAGGAACACCGGUGGCGAAAGCGGCUCUCUGGUCUGUAACUGACGCUGAGGCUCGAAAGCGUGGGGAGCGAACAGGAUUAGAUACCCUGGUAGUCCACGCCGUAAACGAUGAGUGCUAGGUGUUGGAUCCUUUCCGGGAUUCAGUGCCGCAGCUAACGCAUUAAGCACUCCGCCUGGGGAGUACGACCGCAAGGUUGAAACUCAAAGGAAUUGACGGGGGCCCGCACAAGCGGUGGAGCAUGUGGUUUAAUUCGAAGCAACGCGAAGAACCUUACCAGGUCUUGACAUCCCGAUGCUAUUUCUAGAGAUAGAAAGUUACUUCGGUACAUCGGUGACAGGUGGUGCAUGGUUGUCGUCAGCUCGUGUCGUGAGAUGUUGGGUUAAGUCCCGCAACGAGCGCAACCCCUAUUGUUAGUUGCCAUCAUUCAGUUGGGCACUCUAGCGAGACUGCCGGUAAUAAACCGGAGGAAGGUGGGGAUGACGUCAAAUCAUCAUGCCCCUUAUGACCUGGGCUACACACGUGCUACAAUGGUUGGUACAACGAGUUGCGAGUCGGUGACGGCAAGCUAAUCUCUUAAAGCCAAUCUCAGUUCGGAUUGUAGGCUGCAACUCGCCUACAUGAAGUCGGAAUCGCUAGUAAUCGCGGAUCAGCACGCCGCGGUGAAUACGUUCCCGGGCCUUGUACACACCGCCCGUCACACCACGAGAGUUUGUAACACCCGAAGUCGGUGAGGUAACCUUUUGGAGCCAGCCGCCUAAGGUGGAUGAAGG
rnacentral:rRNA from 1 species